ACCACUCUGUCCACGAUCGCAGAGACGUUGUCCACAAUUGCAGAGUCUUUGCACAAUGAAGAAGUUCUUUGAAAUUAGGACUGAGGCCUCCAGAAUUCAAACUUAAAUCAUUAAAUCACAGAGAAGACACCCAUGCCAAGACAUUUCCAGAAGGUCUUCAGCUGCUGUCGUCAUCUUCUCCUCCUGCAGAGACAAGAACAUGUGUUAAUCACAGAAAUUGACAUUUUUGAUGCAUGACAUGCGGCUUAGGCAGCUAUCUCACCUUUGUUUUCCACAGACACACACACUCUCUCACACCUCUACACAGUGUUUGUGGGUUUGGUUAGAUUUUGUGUUUGUCAUUUCAGUUUUGGUAUUUUGCUAUUUGAAACAGUGCAUUAUCAGUACUCUAAUUUAAUUUA